rnacentral:rRNA from 1 species
GACGAACGCUGGCGGCGUGCUUAACACAUGCAAGUCGAGCGGUAAGGCCCCUUCGGGGGUACACGAGCGGCGAACGGGCGAGUAACACGUGGGUGACCUGCCCUCAGCUCUGGGAUAAGCCUGGGAAACUGGGUCUAAUACCGGAUAUGACCUUUCCUCGCAUGGGGUUUGGUGGAAAGUUUUUUCGGCUGGGGAUGGGCCCGCGGCCUAUCAGCUUGUUGGUGGGGUGGUGGCCUACCAAGGCGACGACGGGUAGCCGGCCUGAGAGGGCGACCGGCCACACUGUGACUUAGACACGGCCCAGACUCCGGCGGGAGGCGGCAGUGGGGAAGAUUGCGCAAUGGGCGGAAGCCGGACGCAGCGACGGCGCGGGGGGGAUGACGGCCUUCGGGAUGUAAACCUCUUUCGACCCCGACGGAUUUGGACGGUAGUGGGAGAAGAAGCACCGGCCAACUACGUG